rnacentral:rRNA from 1 species
UACAGAGGGUGCAAGCGUUGUUCGGAAUUACUGGGCGUAAAGCGCGUGUAGGUGGCGGUGUAAGUCGGGUGUGAAUCCCUCGGCUCAACCGAGGAAGUGCACUCGAUACUGUGUCGCUUGAGUGUUGGAGGGGAUGGCGGAAUUCCCGGUGUAGAGGUGAAAUUCGUAGAUAUCGGGAGGAACACCUGUGGCGAAGGCGGCCAUCUGGACAACUACUGACACUGAGACGCGAAAGCGUGGGUAGCAAACAGG